GGGCCGCAGGAGCGGGGCCGGGUGUCGACCGGCCGAGAUGUCCUAUAAACUGAAGAAGGAUAAGGAACCCUCUAAGCUUGCCAAAGGCACAGCCAAGCCCAGCAGCUCAAGCAAGGAUGGUGGAGGGGAAAACACUGAUGAGGCCCAGCCCCAGCCCCAGUCUCAGUCACCAUCAUCCAACAAACGACCCAGCAACAGCACACCGCCCCCAACACAGCUCAGCAAAAUCAAGUACUCAGGGGGACCCCAGAUUGUCAAGAAGGAACGAUGCCAAAGCUCCUUCCCCUUCAACCUCAACAAGAACCGGGAGCUACAAAAACUUCCUGCCUUGAAAGACUCACCCACCCAGGAACACGAGGAGCUGUUUAUCCAGAAGCUACGCCAGUGCUGUGUCCUCUUUGACUUCGUGUCAGACCCACUCAGUGACCUCAAAUGCAAAGAGGUGAAGCGGGCAGGACUCAAUGAGAUGGUGGAGUAUACCACCCACAGUGAUAUUGUCACUGAAGCCAUCUACCCUGAGGCUGUCACCAUGUUUUCAGUGAAUCUCUUCUGGACGCUGCCUACUUCAUCGAAUCCCACAGGAGCAGAGUUUGACCCUGAGGAAGAUGAGCCUACCUUGGAAGCCGCCUGGCCGCAUCUCCAGCUCGUGUAUGAGUUUUUCUUGCGUUUCUUGGAGUCUCCAGAUUUCCAGCCAAAUAUAGCCAAGAAGUACAUUGACCAGAAGUUUGUACUUGCUCUCCUGGACCUAUUCGAUAGCGAAGAUCCUAGAGAGCGGGAUUUUCUCAAGACCAUUUUGCACCGCAUCUAUGGCAAGUUUUUGGGGCUCCGGGCUUAUAUUCGUAGGCAGAUCAACCACAUCUUCUACAGGUUUAUCUAUGAGACUGAGCAUCACAAUGGGAUUGCGGAGCUGCUGGAGAUCUUGGGCAGCAUCAUCAAUGGCUUUGCCUUGCCCCUUAAGGAAGAACACAAGGUGUUUCUCGUCCGUGUCCUGCUUCCACUUCACAAAGUCAAGUCUUUGAGUGUAUACCACCCUCAGUUGGCGUACUGUGUGGUGCAGUUCCUGGAGAAGGAGAGCAGUCUCACUGAGCCAAUGAUUGUGGGACUUCUCAAGUUUUGGCCUAAGACCCACAGCCCCAAGGAGGUGAUAUUUCUGGAUGAGCUGGAGGAGAUUCUAGAUGUCAUUGAACCCUCAGAGUUCAGUAAAGUCAUGGAGCCGCUCUUCCGCCAGCUUGCCAAAUGUGUUUCCAGCCCCCAUUUUCAGGUGGCGGAGCGUGCCCUCUACUACUGGAACAAUGAGUACAUCAUGAGCCUGAUCAGCGACAAUGCUGCCCGCAUCCUCCCCAUCAUGUUUCCUGCACUCUAUAGGAACGCCAAAAGCCACUGGAACAAGACAAUCCACGGACUCAUCUACAAUGCCCUGAAGCUCUUCAUGGAGAUGAACCAGAAGCUGUUUGACGACUGCACACAGCAGUACAAGGUGGAGAAGCAGAAGGGCCGGUUCCGAAUGAAGGAAAGAGAGGAGUUGUGGCAGAAGAUUGAGGAGCUGGCCCGGCUCAAUCCCCAGUACCCUAUGUUUCGGGCUCCUCUGACACUGCCCCCUGUGUAUUCCAUGGAGACAGAGACGCCCACAGCAGAGGACAUUCAGCUCCUGAAGAGGACGGUGGAGACAGAGGCCGUGCAGAUGCUGAAGGAUAUCAAGAAGGACAAAGUGCUGCUCCGGAGGAAGUCAGAGCUGCCACAGGAUGUGUACACCAUUAAGGCACUAGAGGCACACAAGCGGGCAGAAGAGUUUCUUACUGCCAGCCAGGACGCCCUCUGACCCCCUCACCUUCCCUUCCCACAGGAUUUCAGCCCACUUCAGCCCUGGAUGCAGCCCAGCCCUCCACCCUCUGCUCCUCAUCGGCUGACCUGGGGCAGAACAGCACCUCUCUGGAUACUCUAGA